rnacentral:rRNA from 1 species
AGAGUUUGAUCAUGGCUCAGGAUGAACGUGGCGGCGUGCCUAAUACAUGCAAGUCGAACGAAGACUUUAGUAAUACUGUCUUAGUGGCGAACGGGUGAGUAACGCGUGGGUGACCUGCCCCCGAAGUGUGGGAUAACAGUUCGAAAGAACUGCUAAUACCGCAUAAUAUCCAAGAGAUUAGACGCUUUUGGAUUAAAGGAGUAAUUCGCUUCGGGAGGGGCCCGCGUCCCAUCAGCUAGUUGGUAAGGUAAUGGCUUACCAAGGCGAUGACGGGUAGGGGACCUGAGAGGGUGGCCCCCCACAAUGGAACUGAAACACGGUCCAUACACCUACGGGUGGCAGCAGUAGGGAAUAUUAGUAAUGGGCGAAAGCCUGAACUAGCAACGCCGCGUGUGCGAAGAAGGCCUUCGGGUUGUAAAGCACUUUUUGAGAGGAUGAGGAAGGACGGUACUCUCAGAAUAAGUCUCGGCUAACUACGUGCCAGCAGCCGCGGUAACACGUAGGAGGCAAACGUUAUCCGGAUUUACUGGGCGUAAAGCGCGUGUAGGUGGUUUGGUAAGUAGGGCGUGAAAGCUCCUGGCUCAACUGGGAGAGGACGUCCUAAACUGCCAAGCUUGAGGAUGGUAGAGGGAGGUGGAAUUCCGGGUGUAGCGGUGGAAUGCGCAGAUAUCCGGAGGAACACCAGUGGCGAAGGCGGCCUCCUGGACCACUCCUGACACUCAGACGCGAAAGCUAGGGUAGCAAACGGGAUUAGAGACCCCGGUAGUCCUAGCCCUAAACGAUGUAGACUUGGCGUCGGUGGUUUAAUCGCCAUCGGUGUCGUAGCUAACGCGUUAAGUCUACCGCCUGGGGACUACGGCCGCAAGGUUAAAACUCAAAUGAAUUGACGG